ensembl:lncRNA
GUGGGCCUACUGUUAACCGGCUCUCAGGGUGGGCAGCGGUCCUACCGUAGGCCUACUGUUAACCGGCUCUCAGGGUGGGCAGUGGUCCUCCUGUAGGCCUACUGUUAACCGGCUCUCAGGGUGGGCAGCGGUCCUCCUGUAGGCCUACUGUUAACCGGCUCUCAGGGUGGGCCGCGGUCCUCCUGUAGGCCUACUGUUAACCGGCUCUCAGGGUGGGCAGUGGUCCUCCUGUAGGCCUACUGUUAACCGGCUCUCAGGGUGGAUGGCGUUCAUCCUGUAACCUGACACCCUGCCUGGCUCUAUUCCCAGGCGGACCGGUUGUUGAUCUCCUCCUCCCUCUUCAGCGCUCCUCCAGAACGGACACCAUUUUGUUUGUGUUUUAAACAUCGAGAGACUCUUGAAUGUAGACGGUUGUAGUCGCAUUAUAUGUGGACAGAUGUCUUUAAACAGGUGUGCUUCUCGUAUCCAAUCAAACAUUUGCAUUUACAUUUACAUUCAGGGCAUUUAGCAGAUGCUUUUAUCCAAAGCGACUUACAAUUUACAUUUACAAGUAUGUUUGUCAGAAGAAGGUCAAACAAUAUAUAUCGCUGUCGGUACAGUAAGAAUGUUCAUAGAACCAAGUGCCAAGCACUGACAAUCUCUAGGUCAACCCAUUCCCCGUAUACAAGAAAGAUAGCUAGAAUAAUAUGCUAGACAAUGCUAAGUACUAUUUUUAAGUGCAAGGACGUGCAACAUGCAACAAGUGCGUACAUUAAGUGCCAAAUCAUUCCAUUUUAAAUGAGAAUAAAUGUUUUGUCACAGCUGCAACCUUUCCCUGUCUAAACUUAGGGACUAAACUUUAAGGAGAUACAUGUUUGACUAGACAUGAAGGAUGAAGUAAUCCAUAACUUCAAGUCAUCCAAUGUUUUAUAUUAGUCAUUUAUUAUAGUAAACCGACAAAUAGUGGCCCGUUUCAGGGUGAAAUCUGACUUGAUGUCAUGUGUUUCGUCACACAUGACUUGUAUGUAUGUACAUCCUUUCUGCGUUUCUCUGGUUCCAUAUUGUUUGAUACUCAUGUUUUGUUUUGACCUCGCUUCUUUGUGCCAGCAGUAUACCUCUUGGAAAGUUGUUAGGUAAACUAUUGAUGCUUUCUGAACGUGAUACUAGCGAAAGACACUAGAUGGCGCCCUUUCUCAGAAAUGAAUCCCUUGUCGCAAAACUGCAGAGCCGUGGUCUAGGGUUGGGCUGUGGGAGGACGGAUGAUGAUGUUGACAUUCAAAUUACUGCUAAACCGAACAGCUGCUAUAUACUGAGGAUGAAAA